rnacentral:rRNA from 1 species
CACGUAGUGCGCAAGCGUGGUCCGGAAUUAUUGGGCGUAAAGAGCUCGUAGGCGGACUGUCACGUCUGCUGUGAAAAGCUGGGGCUUAACCCUGGCCUUGCAGUGGAUACGGGCAGACUAGAGGUAGGUAGGGGAGAAUGGAAUUCCCGGUGUAGCGGUGAAAUGCGUAGAUAUCGAGAGGAACACCUGCGGCGAAGGCGGGUUGCUGGGCUGACACUGACGCUGAUGCGCGAAAGCCAGGGGAGCGAACGGG